ACUUGUUCUGUUUAAGACAGAAGCAGAGACUGUGGAGAUCAAACAGCUCUCAUACCCAAACAGCCUGGCUUGCAUCACUGUAGCUCCUCUGUUCCCAUCCCCACCCCACUGCUCUCCUGCUCUUGGCACCACAGUGCAAAAUAAAGAGGGAUGUGAAACUGCCUUUUGACCCAUCUGAUAUUUCAUUUGCUUUUUAAAGAAUAGUCUUCCCCUCACCUUACAAACAAUGUGUGAAUUCCCAGACCCUCUCCAAAACAGGAUAAGUGUUUAAAUACCCAUUACAAAGAACAUAAAAGCAACUGUAACAGGGUGCUGAUGUGCAGUUUGCUUCUUCCCUUCCCACCUCAGGGGCUGUUUGCCAUAAGGACUGACAGACGGACAGCAGAGCCCCUGGCCUGAAGAGGCCUUCCUGGCCCUGUUCACCUGGCAUCAGUGCUGGUUUCCCACCACCACUGCCCUCACUCACCGGGAUGGAGGAUUUUGCCAGGACCAGGGCCAGAAGGAAACACACUGGCAAAGAUGGGUGCAGAUGCCUUCAUAUGAUGUGUCCCUACUCAUGAGACCAUUCACUGCUGUGACUAAGAAGGCCUAAUACCAGCCUCUGAGCUACCACUAGGCAAUGUCAGUGUGGAUUUAAAAGCCAUAUGGUCAUAUUUGUGCCACAGAGGACUGAGCUUGUGCAACUGGCUGAGACGAAAGGUUUGGUACAGCUUGCCACCUUCCAUACCAUCAGGCCUCCGACUCACCACUCCCCAGAGAACUCUCCACCAUCCCCCACUUACCUGUCUUCCUGUGCUGCUGCCAGCCGCUCUGAGGUGCCAUCUGCCUGCAGGCAGUGACCCUCCCAAUGAAGCUCUAGCUCCUCCAAAAGCCGAGCUCUGCCAGUGAGGUUCUAAACCAGCAUUCUGGGAUGCAGGCUUAUUAUAAACUUCAGCCUCGUCACACUCUAGUCUAAACUAGAAGCGGCUUUUCUGUUUUGAAUAGUUGGCUAGAGGCUACAUGACAUCAACGGGGAACAGAAUUCAAGCAGAACAGUCAAAUUACAUCAUGCAAAGGAAGUGGAACCCCUCACUGCUUUUGAAAAAGAGGACAGCUUAAAGCAAAAUCAGAUGGAUUCAUUUUUCCUGGCACGAAGAAAUUCACUCAUCUUUUUGAAACAGAGGAAAUAUACGUUUGCUUGUUUAGUCAUGAAAUAAAAGCAUUUUCUCCUUGCA
rnacentral:lncRNA from 1 species